UGCCUCUGCUUCAAGUUCAGGGCCAUCCACAGGGGCACGCUCAGCGGAGUGCCCGCCGUGAAGGGACCCACGUCGCCAGUGAUGAGUGGUCAACGUCGGAAAAUUUUCUGUUGACAAAACCACGGAGAAAGUCAACAAAUCUCUCUACCGUGCGGCAACGCUUCCAGCUUAGAGGCAGCGCAACAGAAAAGGUACACAAGAUGCUUGCGACUUGAGCCACUGAACACCUACCAGUUUGAGCCGAAAAGCUGGUCCCCGGCCGCGAGCUGAUAUAUUUUCCUGGACACGGAGAUAUACAUCUCUCAGAAUUUAUGACCAUUCUUUUCUUUUUAUUAUUGCUUUUUCAUGUCCAUACCACUUGAUUAUUAUACAUUUAAACUAUUCUCUUUUUAUUUUCGGCGCUUUUUUUAUAAAUUUUUGUAUUACUUUUUGUGAUGUUAAAGAUUUUAUUCCUAAGUUUAUUUGAUAUUCGUUAUGCAUGAUUGUCUGCCACUCCUGCUGCUUUGCCAACUUGUGGACGGGUCAGGACAUCGUCAAGCUCUUGAACUUUUAGUGCUGUACUCCUUCUAAACAAAAGGAAAUAAAAUAAUUGAUUGAUUGUGUUUCCGAA